GAUGAACGCUGGCGGCGUGCCUAAUACAUGCAAGUCGAGCGGACACACCAGGAACUUGCUCCUCUUACUUUAGCGGCGGACGCGCACGGAACACUUAGAUAACCCCCAUAUAAGCCUCAGAUGACUUUGAGAAACCGGAGCUAAUACCAGUUAAUAUAUUCAACCCCAUAAUUCAAUAGUGAAAGACGAUUUUUCUGUCACUGAUAGAUGGAUCUGCGCCGCAUUAGCUAGUUGGUAAGGUAACGGCAUACCAAGGCAACGAUGCGUAGGCGAGCUGAGAGGGUGAUCGGCCACACUGGAACGGAGACACGGUCCAGACCCCUACGGGAGGCAGCAGUAGGGAAUCUAACGCUAUGGGAGAAGGCCGGACGGAGCAACGCCGCGUGAGUGAUGAAGGGCUUCGGAUCGUAAAACUCUGUUAUUAGGGAAGAACAAAUGUGUAAGUAACUAGGCACGUCUUGACGGUACCUAAUCAGAAAGCCCCGGCUAACUACGUG
rnacentral:rRNA from 1 species